rnacentral:misc_RNA from 1 species
GUAUAAGAGACAGGUGAGUCAUCGAAUCUUUGAACGCACAUUGCGCCCCUUGGUAUUCCAUGGGGCAUGCCUGUUCGAGCGUCAUUUGUACCCUCCAGCCCUGCUGGGUGUUGGGCGUUUUGUUCCGCCGCGCGCGUGAACUCGCCUCAAAUGCAUUGGCAGCCAGCCGUCCCGCGUGGGAGCGCAGCACAUUUUGCGCUCUCCGCUGGGUGCGGCGGCGUCCACAAGCCUAUACCUUUACGCUUGACCUCGGAUCAGGUAGGGAUACCCGCUGAACUUAAGCAUAUCAAUAAGCGGAGG